rnacentral:lncRNA from 1 species
UGGAAUUUUGUAUAUCUUGACCUUUGCGGCUACUCUCGCACCAGAUUGGUACGACCCCACAUUUGUAUCCCAAAAAAAAAAAAUUAUCGAAGCAAAACUCCUAUUUUAAAUAAAAUAUUGGGUUCAAUACAACAUCAGAUAUCAUGAUUACAACGUAAUAAUACAGCAGUCAUUUUAUACCGCCAUAAUGUCAUCAAAGAACU